GCCGGGCUAGCUCAAUCGGUAGAGCGUGUGACUCUUAUUCGGGUAACACUCUCUGAUGAGACGAUCACAAGGUUGCGGGUUCGACCCCCGCGUUCGGCU